GAUGAAGAACGUAGUGAAAUGCGAUAAGUAAUGUGAAUUGCAGAAUUCAGUGAAUCAUCGAAUCUUUGAACGCAUCUUGCGCCCCUUGGUAUUCCGAGGGGCAUGCCUGUUCGAGCGUCAUUAUAACCCCUCAAGCUCAGCUUGGUGUUGGGGCCUGCUGCACUGGCAGCCCUUAAAAUCAGUGGCGGCGCCAUCUGGCUCUAAGCGUAGUAAUUCUUCUCGCUAUGGAGUCCUGGUGGAUGCUUGCCAUCAACCCCCAAUUUUUCUAUGGUUGACCUCGGAUCAGGUAGGGAUACCCGCUGAACUUAAGCAUAUCAAUAAGCGGAGGA
rnacentral:misc_RNA from 1 species